UACGUAGGGUGCAAGCGUUAAUCGGAAUUACUGGGCGUAAAGCGUGCGCAGGCGGUGAUGUAAGACAGUUGUGAAAUCCCCGGGCUCAACCUGGGAACUGCAUCUGUGACUGCAUCGCUGGAGUGCGGCAGAGGGGGAUGGAAUUCCGCGUGUAGCAGUGAAAUGCGUAGAUAUCAGGAGGAAUACCGAUGGCGAAGGCAGGUCUCUGGGCUGAAACUGACGCUCAUGCACGAAAGCGUGGGGAGCAAACAGG
rnacentral:rRNA from 1 species